rnacentral:rRNA from 1 species
GACGAACGCUGGCGGCGUGCUUAACACAUGCAAGUCGAGCGGUAAGGCCCUUUCGGGGGUACGACGAGCGGCGAACGGGUAGAGUAACACGUGGGUGGACCUCGCCCUCCAGCUCUGGGAGUAAGCCUGGGAAACCGGGGUCUAAUACCGGAUAUGACUCCAUGACGCAUGUUGUGGGGUGGAAAGCCUUGUGCGGCUGAGGAUGGGCCCGCGGCCUAUCAGCUUGUUGGUGGGGUGAUGGCCUACCAAGGCGACGACGGGUAGCCGGCCUGAGAGGGCGACCGGCCACACUGGGACUGAGACACGGCCCAGACUCCUACGGGAGGCAGCAGUGGGGAAUCUUGCGCAAUGGGCGAAAGCCUGACGCAGCGACGCCGCGUGAGGGAUGACGG